UACGUAGGGUGCAAGCGUUAAUCGGAAUUACUGGGCGUAAAGCGUGCGCAGGCGGCUAUGCAAGACAGAUGUGAAAUCCCCGGGCUCAACCUGGGAACUGCAUUUGUGACUGCAUCGCUGGAGUGCGGCAGAGGGGGAUGGAAUUCCGCGUGUAGCAGUGAAAUGCGUAGAUAUGCGGAGGAACACCGAAGGCGAAGGCAAUCCCCUGGGCCUGCACUGACGCUCAUGCACGAAAGCGUGGGGAUCAAACAGG
rnacentral:rRNA from 1 species